rnacentral:tRNA from 1 species
GCCGCGGUGGCGAAGCUGGUAUACGCGGCAGACUUAAGAUCUGCUUUCCGCAAGGAAUCGUGGGUUCGAGUCCCACCCGCGGCACCA